rnacentral:tRNA from 2 species
GCCCGGGUAGCUCAAUCGGUAGAGCGUGUGGCUCUUACAGAAAACCUCAAGGUCGCGGGUUCGAGCCCCGCCUCGGGCU